rnacentral:rRNA from 1 species
GUUAUCCGGAAUUACUGGGCGUAAAGCGUGCGCAGGCGGUUUUUUAAGUCUGUCGUGAAAGCCCCGGGCUCAACCUGGGAAUUGCGAUGGAGACUGCAAGGCUUGAAUCUGGCAGAGGGGGGUAGAAUUCCACGUGUAGCGGUGAAAUGCGUAGAUAUUGGGAGGAACACCAGUGGCGAAGGCGGGUUACUGGGCUGAUACUGACGCCGAUGCGCGAAAGCCAGGGGAGCAAACGGG